rnacentral:rRNA from 1 species
AUUGAACGCUGGCGGCAGGCCUAAAACAUGAGAGUCGAGCGGAUGAAGGAAAAUAGCUACUGGAAUAAGAAACGGACGGAUGAAUAAAACAUAGAAAAAUAAAUAGUACUGGAGGAUACAGUAAGGAACCGGGCGCUAAUACCGCAUACGUCCUGAGGGAGAAAGUGGGGGAUCUUCGGACCUCACGCUAUCAGAUGAGCCUAGGUCGGAUUAGCUAGUUGGUGGGGUAAAGGCCUACCAAGGCGACGAUCCGUAACUGGUCUGAGAGGAUGAUCAGUCACACUGGAACUGAGACACGGUCCAGACUCCUACGGGAGGCAGCAGUGGGGAAUAUUGGACAAUGGGCGAAAGCCUGAUCCAGCCAUGCCGCGUGUGUGAAGAAGGUCUUCGGAGUGUAAAGCACUUUAAGUUGGGAUGAAGGGCAGUAAGUUAAUACCUUGCUGUUUUGACGUUACCAACAGAAUAAGCACCGGCUAACUUCGUG